AUAAAACAUAGAGAGGACGAAACACAGACGAGUACAUUCUUUCUUACAUUUCUGAAAGAAUGUACUCGUCUGUGUUUCGUCCUCUCUAUAUUUUAU
rnacentral:pre_miRNA from 1 species